rnacentral:rRNA from 1 species
AGGGAAUCUUCCGCAAUGGACGAAAGUCUGACGGAGCAACGCCGCGUGAGUGAUGAAGGUUUUCGGAUCGUAAAACUCUGUUGUUAGGGAAGAACAAGUACCGUUCGAAUAGGGCGGCACCUUGACGGUACCUAACCAGAAAGCCACGGCUAACUACGUGCCAGCAGCCGCGGUAAUACGUAGGUGGCAAGCGUUGUCCGGAAUUAUUGGGCGUAAAGCGCGCGCAGGCGGUCCUUUGAGUCUGAUGUGAAAGCCCACGGCUCAACCGUGGAGGGUCAUUGGAAACUGGGGGACUUGAGUGCAGAAGAGGAGAGUGGAAUUCCACGUGUAGCGGUGAAAUGCGUAGAGAUGUGGAGGAACACCAGUGGCGAAGGCGACUCUCUGGUCUGUAACUGACGCUGAGGUGCGAAAGCGUGGGGAGCGAAC